ACGAACGAGCACAAGGAAAGCGCUCGCCCUUGUGUUUCUUCUAUUCUUCGUCCCUGUUUGUUGGGCACAACAAGCUUUAAGAUGAAUUUGUUCCAACUAGGCCGACUCGCAGUCUUGCUUGAGUGCUUUCAGUACCAAAGUUUUUACAUUCUGUAAUAAUUUGUGCCAGAUGAACUAUUUACCAGUAGCUCAGGCGUGAGGAAAAGUAUAUUAUAACGCAGAGGCUUCUCAAUAUUGGUUAGCUAUUCUGGCAUUUAUAGAAAUCACAUUUGACUUUUAGGAGUUGGUCUACUUUAAGCUCAGUACUGUUUUCCUAUGGGCUAAAAUUCUUUCCCUACUGAGUGGUAUUUUGUUCAUCUUCAAAUAUACAACAAGAACUUUCUGUACAAUAUUAAAAAAUAUAUUUCAAAUGAGUCUGCGCUCUAAGCAUAGUAACGUGGUUUGCUACACAGUUUCGACGAACCUGCUUUCAACGAUUCCCCAUGUCAUCAAGCAAAAUAAUGCAGAACAAGCUAUGUCGUGUUAAAGAUUAAAGAACGCAUUAUCCUGUAAAUGUAAAUUAAUAUCGCGUUGAUGUGUUUAUGCCUGGAGAGAAUGCAAGGAGAGAAUUUACGGAAACCUGUCCAAAACCUCCAGGUUUGGCCGAAAUUGGUGGUGCGUGCACAGACCAAAGAUUUGGCUUGGGAGAAGACAAACCUCACACGUACCUCGGACUUACUACAAUGGCGCACGAAUUCGGGCAUUUGCUAGGGGCAUACCACGAUGGCUCUUCAGAAGCACCGACUUGUCCAGCGGUUUUUGGGAACCUAAUGAGUACCAUGGACAGAGGAAUGCUAAACAGAUCCAAGCUGUCGCCCUGCAGUCAGGCAGCAAUAAGAGCUUUUGUAAGCAAUUUAUCAGCGACAUGCAUAAACGUCAGCAUAGCAAGAAAUUACACCAAUGAAUCAUAUCCAGGGGAAGGCUUAACUGCAGAAGAAUAUUGUACAAUAUUAUUGUACCCAGAGCAUGAAGACGUGCAGGCCUCCAGUACGUGCAAAGGAGGUGUUUGUGGAGAACACGACUAGGAACAGCUACGUCAGGACCGGCAAGUUGUCUCUACAAGGGCGCCGUAUAGGUGAUGGCAAUAAACGUUCUAAAAAC